ACUCCUACGGGAGGCAGCAGUGGGGGAUAUUGCACAAUGGGCGAAAGCCUGAUGCAGCGACGCCGCGUGAAGGAAGAAGUAUUUCGGUAUGUAAACUUCUAUCAGCAGGGAAGAAAAUGACGGUACCUGACUAAGAAGCCCCGGCUAAAUACGUGCCAGCAGCCGCGGUAAUACGUAUGGGGCAAGCGUUAUCCGGAUUUACUGGGCGUAAAGGGAGCGUAGGCGGCAGGGCAAGUCAGAUGUGAAAGACCGAGGCUCAACUUCGGGGUUGCAUUUGAAACUGUCCGGCUAGAGUGUCGGAGAGGUAAGCGGAAUUCCUAGUGUAGUGGUGAAAUGCGUAGAUAUUAGGAGGAACAUCGGUGGCGAAGGCGGCUUACUGGACGAUAACUGACGCUGAGGCUCGAAAGCGUGGGGAGCAAACAGGAUUAGAUACCCUUGUAGUCC
rnacentral:rRNA from 1 species